rnacentral:rRNA from 1 species
AAUCCCGGCUCGGGGAGGUAGUGACAAAAAAUAACAAUGCGGGACUCAUAUGAGGCUUCGUAAUUGGAAUGAGUACAUUCUAAAUCCUUUAAUGAGGAACUAUUGGAGGGCAAGUCUGGUGCCAGCAGCCGCGGUAAUUCCAGCUCCAAUAGCGUAUAUUAAAAUUGUUGCGUCUAAAAAGCUCGUAGUUUGAAAACUUGCCUUGGCUUACAACAGGGGCUUAUGCUCCGCCGUUUGCUGGGUGCAAAUAUAGAUGACUGUUUUUGCCGUCUUUACUGCCGGCUUACAAGAGUUAUCAAAUAUCACUUUGAUUAAAUUAGAGUGCUUAAAGCAAGUGUAUACUUGGAUAUAAAUGCAUGGAAUGAUGGAAUAUGUUGUUGUUCUAUUUGUUGGUUUUUGAAUGAUGAAAUGAUUGAAAGGAACUGUUGGGGGCAUUCGUAUUGUUGUGAGAGAGGUGAAAUUCUUAGACCACAGCAAGACGAACUACUGCGAAAGCAUUUGCCAAGAAUGUUUUCAUUGAUCAAGAACGAAAGUUAGAGGUUCGAAGGCGAUCAGAUACCGCCCUAGUUCUAACCAUAAACUAUGCCAACUAGCAAUUUGCUUAUGUAUGUUUUAUGACUAAGUGAGAGGCCACGGGAAACCAAAGUAGGGUUAUGGGGGAAGUAUGGUUGCAAAGCUGAAACUUAAAGGAAUUGACGGAAGGGCACCACCAGGAGUGGAGCCUGCGGCUUAAUUUGACCCAACACGGGAAAACUUACCUGGUCCUGACACUAGAAGGAUUGACAGAUUGAUAGCUCUUUCUUGAUUUGGUGGAUGGUGGUGCAUGGCCGUUCUUAGUUGGUGGAGUGAUUUGUCUGGUUAAUUCCGAUAACGAACGAGACUCUAGCCUAUUAAAUAACACACAGAAUCAUGUCUUCUGUGGCGUUUCUUAAUGGGAUCAAGUGUGUUUAACGCUUUGAAACAGAGCAAUAACAGGUCUGUGAUGCCCUUAGAUGUUCGGGGCCGCACGCGCGCUACAUUGAAAGACAAAAUGAGCAUUCUAGUCUUUAACAAGGCUAGUAAUCUUUGAAUGUUUUUCUUAAUGGGGAUAGGGGAUUGCAAUUGUGCCCCUUGAACGAGGAAUUCCCAGUAAGUGCUAGUCAUCAGCUAGUACUGAUUACGUCCCUGCCCUUUGUACACACCGCCCGUCGCUACUACCGAUUGAAUGGUUUAGUGAGAUCAUCUGAGUAGAUGUGUAUGUAUUUGUAUGUGCAUAUUUGCAAUGAAGAUCAAACUUGAUCAUUUAGAGGAAGUAAAAGUCGUA